rnacentral:misc_RNA from 1 species
ACCCCUGAAACCUGAGUCUG